UACGGUGGGAGCAAGCGUUGUUCGGAUUUACUGGGCGUAAAGGGCGCGUAGGCGGCCACCGCAAGUCGACUGUGAAAUCUCCGGGCUUAACCCGGAAAGGUCAGCCGAUACUGCGGGGCUAGAGUGCAGAAGGGGCAACUGGAAUUCUCGGUGUAGCGGUGAAAUUCGUAGAUAUCGAGAGGAACACCGGUGGCGAAGGCGGCUUUCUGGACGAUUACUGACGCUGAGACGCGAAAGCGUGGGGAGCAAACAGG
rnacentral:rRNA from 1 species